rnacentral:rRNA from 1 species
UACGAAGGGUGCAAGCGUUACUCGGAAUUACUGGGCGUAAAGCGUGCGUAGGGGGUUUUUUAAGUCCGUUGUGAAAGCCCUGGGCUCAACCUGGGAAUGGCAGUGGAUACUGGAAAGCUAGAGUGCGGUAGAGGGUAGUGGAAUUCCCGGUGUAGCAGUGAAAUGCGUAGAGAUCGGGAGAAACACCAGUGGCGAAGGCGGCUACCUGGACCAGCACUGACACUGAGGCACGAAAGCGUGGGGAGCAAACAGG